CUCUGCAUGGCAUAGUGGUUUGAGCAUUGGACUAGGACUCUAGAGACUAGGGUUCGAUUCCCAGCUCAGCCA
rnacentral:tRNA from 1 species